rnacentral:rRNA from 1 species
GAUGAACGCUAGCUACAGGCUUAACACAUGCUAGUCGAGGGGAAACGGCAUUGAGUGCUUGCACUCUUUGGACGUCGACCGGCGCACGGGUGAGUAACGCGUAUCCAACCUUCCCAUUACUGUGGGAUAACCUGCCGAAAGGCAGACUAAUACCGCAUAGUCUUCGAUGACGGCAUCAGAUUUGAAGUAAAGAUUUAUCGGUAAUGGAUGGGGAUGCGUCUGAUUAGCUUGUUGGCGGGGUAACGGCCCACCAAGGCUACGAUCAGUAGGGGUUCUGAGAGGAAGGUCCCCCACAUUGGAACUGAGACACGGUCCAAACUCCUACGGGAGGCAGCAGUGAGGAAUAUUGGUCAAUGGACGGAAGUCUGAACCAGCCAAGUAGCGUGCAGGAUGACGGCCCUAUGGGUUGUAAACUGCUUUUGUAUGGGGAUAAAGUUAGGGACGUGUCCCUAUUUGCAGGUACCAUACGAAUAAGGACCGGCUAAUUCCGUG